rnacentral:rRNA from 1 species
GACAGAGGGUGCAAACGUUGUUCGGAAUUACUGGGCGUAAAGCGCGUGUAGGCGGCCCUACAAGUCGGGUGUGAAAUCCCACGGCUCAACCGUGGAAGUGCACUCGAAACUGCAGGGCUAGAGUCCUGGAGAGGAAGGUGGAAUGCUUGGUGUAGAGGUGAAAUUCGUAGAUAUCAAGCGGAACACCGGUGGCGAAGGCGGCCUUCUGGACAGUGACUGACGCUGAGACGCGAAAGCGUGGGGAGCAAACAGG